rnacentral:rRNA from 1 species
CGAGCGCAACCCUUGUCACUAGUUGCCAUCAUUUGGUUGGCACUCUAGUGAGACUGCCGGUGACAAACCGGAGGAAGGUGGGGAUGACGUCAAGUCCUCAUGGCCCUUAUGGGUAGGGCUUCACACGUCAUACAAUGGUCGGUACAGAGGGUUGCCGAGCCGCGAGGUGGAGCCAAUCCCUUAAAGCCGAUCGUAGUCCGGAUCGUAGUCUGCAACUCGACUACGUGAAGUCGGAAUCGCUAGUAAUCGCAGAUCAGCAUGCUGCGGUGAAUACGUUCCCGGGUCUU